rnacentral:tRNA from 1 species
GCCUCCGUAGCUCAGUGGAUAGAGCAGUCGGUUUCUACCCGAUUGGUCAGGGGUUCGAAUCCUCUCGGGGGCA